GUGAGGAAUUUUCCGCAAUGGGCGAAAGCCUGACGGAGCAAUGCCGCGUGAAGGAUGAAGGCCUGCGGGUUGUAAACUUCUUUUCUUAGAGAAGAUAAUGACGGUAUCUGAGGAAUAAGCAUCGGCUAACCCUGUGCCAGCAGCCGCGGUAAUACAGGGGAUGCAAGCGUUAUCCGGAAUGAUUGGGCGUAAAGCGUCUGUAGGUGGUUUUGAAAGUCGAUUGUCAAAAACCAAGGCUUAACCUUGGGCCGGCAAUGGAAACUUCAAGACUAGAGUAUGGUAGAGGUAGAGGGAAUUACCGGUGUAACGGUGAAAUGUGCAGAUAUCGGUAAGAACACCAAAGGCGAAAGCACUCUACUGGGCCAAAACUGACACUCAGAGACGAAAGCUAGGGGAGCGAAUAGGAUUAGAAACCCCGGUAGUCC
rnacentral:rRNA from 1 species